GUGUUACAGCUUGUAACACACAUGAUAAGCGAGAAUGAUACAGAGAAGAUUAGCAUGGCCCCUGGCGCAAGGAUGACACGCACAAUCGUGAAGCGUUCUCGUUUUUC